rnacentral:tRNA from 1 species
UGCCUCGUAGGGUAAUUCGGUAGCCCACCGGACUUUGGUUCCGGGCAGUGCAGGUUCGAGUCCUGCCGAGGCAG